rnacentral:rRNA from 1 species
UACGUAGGGCGCAAGCGUUGUCCGGAAUUAUUGGGCGUAAAGAGCUCGUAGGCGGUUUGUCGCGUCGGAUGUGAAAGCCCGGGGCUUAACCCCGGGUCUGCAUUCGAUACGGGCAGACUGGAGUGUGGUAGGGGAGAUCGGAAUUCCUGGUGUAGCGGUGAAAUGCGCAGAUAUCAGGAGGAACACCGGUGGUGAAGGCGGAUCUCUGGGCCAUUACUGACGCUGAGGAGCGAAAGCGUGGGGAGCGAACAGG